UCCGGUUGAUCCUGCCGGACCUGACUGCUAUCGGAUUGAUACUAAGCCAUGCGAGUCAUUGUAGCAAUACAAGGCAGACGGCUCAGUAACGCGUAGUCAACCUAGCCUAUGGAUGGGAAUAACCUCGGGAAACUGAGAAUAAUGCCCAAUAGAACACUAUACCUGGAAUGGUUUGUGUUCCAAAUGAUUUAUCGCCGUAGGAUGGGACUGCGGCCUAUCAGUUUGUUGGUGAGGUAAUGGCCCACCAAGACUAUUACAGGUACGGGCUCUGAGAGGAGUAGCCCGGAGAUGGGUACUGAGACACGGACCCAGGCCCUAUGGGGCGCAGCAGGCGAGAAAACUUUGCAAUGUGCGAAAGCACGACAAGGUUAAUCCGAGUGAUUUGUGCUAAACGAAUCUUUUGUUAGUCCUAGAAACACUAACGAAUAAGGGGUGGGCAAGUUCUGGUGUCAGCCGCCGCGGUAAAACCAGCACCUCAAGUGGUCAGGAUGAUUAUUGGGCCUAAAGCAUCCGUAGCCGGCUCUGUAAGUUUUCGGUUAAAUCUGUAUGCUCAACAGUACAGGCUGCCGGGAAUACUGCAGAGCUAGGGAGUGGGAGAGGUAGACGGUACUCGGUAGGAAGGGGUAAAAUCCUUUGAUCUAUCGAUGACCACCUGUGGCGAAGGCGGUCUACCAGAACACGUCCGACGGUGAGGGAUGAAAGCUGGGGGAGCAAACCGGAUUAGAUAKCCCGGGUAGUCCCAGCUGUAAACUAUGCAAACUNCAGUGAUGCAUUGGCUUGUGGCCAAUGCAGUGCUGCAGGGAAGCCGUUAAGUUUGCCGCCUGGGAAGUGCGUACGCAAGUAUGAAACUUAAAGGAAUUGGCGGGGGAGCACCACAAGGGGUGAAGCCUGCGGUUCAAUUGGAUUCAACGCCGGA
rnacentral:rRNA from 1 species